rnacentral:rRNA from 1 species
GACGAACCGUGCGAACGUUAUUCGGAAUCACUGGGCUUAAAGCGCGUGUAGGCGGGAGGGCACGUCCGUUGCUGAAAUCCCCCGGCUCAACCGGGGAACGGGCGCGGAUACGACCUUCCUGGAGGGGCGUAGGGGGACCUGGAAUUUCCGGUGGAGCGGUGAAAUGCGUAGAGAUCGGAAAGAACACCAACGGCGAAAGCACUCUGCUGGGCCGACACUGACACUGAGAGACGAAAGCUAGGGGAGCGAAUGGG